rnacentral:rRNA from 1 species
GACGAACGCUGGCGGCGUGCUUAACACAUGCAAGUCGAACGGAAAGGCCCUGCUUUUGUGGGGUGCUUGAGUGGCGAACGGGUGAGUAACACGUGAGUAACCUGCCCUUGACUUUGGGAUAACUUCAGGAAACUGGGGCUAAUACCGGAUAGGAGCUCCUGCUGCAUGGUGGGGGUUGGAAAGUUUCGGCGGUUGGGGAUGGUCUCGCGGCUUAUCAGCUUGUUGGUGGGGUAGUGGCUUACCAAGGCUUUGACGGGUAGCCGGCCUGAGAGGGUGACCGGCAACAUUGGGAUUGAGAUACGGCCCAGACUCCUACGGGAGGCAGCAGUGGGGAAUACUGCACAAGGGGCGGACGCCAGAUGCAGCAACGCCGCGUGAGGGAUGAAGGCAUUCGGGUUGUAAGCCGCUUUCGCCUGUGACGAAGCGUGAGUGACGGUAAUGGGUAAAGAAGCACCGGCUAACUACGUG